AACGAACGCUGGCGGCAGGCCUAACACAUGCAAGUCGAACGCCGUAGCAAUACGGAGUGGCAGACGGGUGAGUAACGCGUGGGAACAUACCCUUCGGUUCGGAACAACUCAGGGAAACUUGAGCUAAUACCGGAUACGUGCGAGAGCAGAAAGAUUCAUCGCCGAAGGAUUGGCCCGCGUUCGAUUAGCUAGUUGGUGAGGUAACGGCUCACCAAGGCGACGAUCGANAGCUGGUCUGAGAGGAUGAUCAGCCACAUUGGGACUGAGACACGGCCCAAACUCCUACGGGAGGCAGCAGUGGGGAAUAUUGGACAAUGGGCGAAAGCCUGAUCCAGCCAUGCCGCGUGAGUGAUGAAGGCCCUAGGGUUGUAAAGCUCUUUCGUCAGGGACGAUAAUGACGGUACCUGAAGAAGAAGCCCCGGCUAACUUCGUGCCAGCAGCCGCUGUAAC
rnacentral:rRNA from 1 species